CGAGCGAACAGACGAGGAGCUUGCUCCUCUGACGUUAGCGGCGGACGGGUGAGUAACACGUGGAUAACCUACCUAUAAGACUGGGAUAACUUCGGGAAACCGGAGCUAAUACCGGAUAAUAUAUUGAACCGCAUGGUUCAAUAGUGAAAGACGGUUUUGCUGUCACUUAUAGAUGGAUCCGCGCCGCAUUAGCUAGUUGGUAAGGUAACGGCUUACCAAGGCAACGAUGCGUAGCCGACCUGAGAGGGUGAUCGGCCACACUGGAACUGAGACACGGUCCAGACUCCUACGGGAGGCAGCAGUAGGGAAUCUUCCGCAAUGGGCGAAAGCCUGACGGAGCAACGCCGCGUGAGUGAUGAAGGUCUUCGGAUCGUAAAACUCUGUUAUUAGGGAAGAACAAAUGUGUAAGUAACUAUGCACGUCUUGACGGUACCUAAUCAGAAAGCCACGGCUAACUACGUGCCAGCAGCCGCGGUAAUACGUAGGUGGCAAGCGUUAUCCGGAAUUAUUGGGCGUAAAGCGCGCGUAGGCGGUUUUUUAAGUCUGAUGUGAAAGCCCACGGCUCAACCGUGGAGGGUCAUUGGAAACUGGAAAACUUGAGUGCAGAAGAGGAAAGUGGAAUUCCAUGUGUAGCGGUGAAAUGCGCAGAGAUAUGGAGGAACACCAGUGGCGAAGGCGACUUUCUGGUCU
rnacentral:rRNA from 1 species